AGUGAACGCUGGCGGUAGGCCUAACACAUGCAAGUCGAACGGCAGCACAGGAGAGCUUGCUCUCUGGGUGGCGAGUGGCGGACGGGUGAGGAAUACAUCGGAAUCCACCUUUUCGUGGGGGAUAACGUAGGGAAACUUACGCUAAUACCGCAUACGACCUACGGGUGAAAGUGGGGGACCGCAAGGCCUCACGCGAUUAGAUGAGCCGAUGUCCGAUUAGCUAGUUGGCGGGGUAAUGGCCCACCAAGGCGACGAUCGGUAGCUGGCCUGAGAGGAUGAUCGGCCCCACUGGAACUGAGACACGGUCCAGACUCCUACGGGAGGCAGCAGUGGGGAAUAUUGGACAAUGGGCGCAAGCCUGAUCCAGCCAUACCGCGUGGGUGAAGAAGGCCUUCGGGUUGUAAAGCCCUUUUGUUGGGAAAGAAAUCCUGUCGAUUAAUACUCGGUGGGGAUGACGGUACCCAAAGAAUAAGCACCGGCUAACUUCGUGCCAGCAGCCGCCGUAA
rnacentral:rRNA from 1 species